rnacentral:lncRNA from 1 species
AUUUCGGUUGCUCACUCGACUCAGUCCUCUCUGGGCAUUGCUUUCGUAUACCACAAAGACGCAACCUAACCUCCCUUCUCCGAAGCCCUUUUUACACCUAAUAAAAUAAAGCGCUCACCCGUGCGACACGUUCACGUUUUAGCACCCGCUCGUUUUUGGAAUUAAAUUUCCUGCGUCCUGCAAAAGUAACGGUGACGUUUUGAAGCACGCUUGUUUUCUUGUGCCACGCUUUCGUCUUCGACCACAGCUGAUAAGUAAGGGUCUCGAGGUCGAGCAGUAGCAGUAGCAGCACAUAUCCUCUGUAAGAGGCAACCACAUCCUACAAGUAUUCCGCUAGUUUCCGUUGCUGAAGUUACUUGCUUAAGGAGCUGGUCGCGCAAAUUAAGCCUUCAGAAAACAA